GUCAUUAUCCGCCACGAGUGGCGCAAUCGGCGGUAGGCAGCUAGCGCAUAGGAACAUCGAGGAUGUCCGAGCAUCUCGUGAUAGGUUCUUUCGUCGGUUCGGUUUUCCCAAUGCAAUUGGUUGCAUUGAUGGGACUCAUGUGGCAAUUGUUCCGCCAAGAAUUAACGACCCAGUGCACCCUGAAAACGUGUAUGUAAAUUGCAAAGAAUACCGUUCAUUAAAUGUUCAGUUGAUAUGUGACGCUGAUUUCUAAAUUGUUAAUGUCAACGCCAGGUUUCCUGGAAGCGCAUUGUACAAUUUGGAAUUCCAGUAACGUCCAGCCAUUAAUGAGAAUAUUGCAUAAUUACCAUGGUGAACGGGUUUAUUUGCUCGGAGAUGCGGGGUACCCUUUACGGCCAUGGCUCAUGACGCCAUUUAAGGAUCCAUUCGACGAUUCUCCUGAGGACGCGUUUAAUCGUGUAUUCUGUCGAGGAGGGUCCCUCAUCGAACGGGUUAAUGAAAUUCUGAAGAUCAGAUGGCGUUGUCUCCUCAAACAUCGAGUACUUCAUUAUCAUCCGGCAACGGCGGCAAAAAUAACAAAAACAUGUGUAGUUUUACACAAUAUGGCUAGCAUAGGUGGCUUCUUAUUCCCUGCAGGCGAAAAUGAACCAUACGUAGGCAAUGAAGAUUACGGGAUAUUCAAUGAUGAAGAGCUUCAUGAAAUGAAUAUUCUCAGAAGGCGUGUUAAUCCCGAGUUGGCAGCCGGUCGAGGCCUUAGAGAUCGAAUUGUUCGAUAAUGGUUCACAUGAGGAUUAUGAAAAAAAUACACUCGCAAUUUACUAAUGAAAGAACAAUAAAAGCGCGUCAUGUGUACAGGAUACUUCAUUGAAUUCGCGAAUUUUUCGUACGAGGACAGAGA